rnacentral:rRNA from 1 species
GCUAUCUGCAGUCGAGCGACUGAUUAGAAGCUUGCUUCUAUGACGUUAGCGUGCCGACUGGUGAGUAACACGUGGGCAACCUGCCUGUAAGACUGGGAUAACUUCGGGAAACCGAAGCUAAUACCGGAUAGGAUCUUCUCCUUCAUGGGAGAUGAUUGAUACAUGGUUUCGGCUAUCGCUUACAGAUGGGCCCGCUGUGCAUUAUCUAGUUGGUGAGGUAACAGCUCACCUAGGCAACGAUGCAUAGCCGACCUGAGAGGGUGAUCUGCCACACUGGGACUGAUACACGGCCCAGACUCCUACGGGAGGCAUCAGUAGGGAAUCUUCCUCAAUGGACGAAAGUCUGACUGAGCAACGCCGCGUGAGUGAUGAAGGCUUUCUGGUCUUAAAACUCUGUUGUUAGGGAAGAACAUGUACGAGACUAACUGCUUGUACCUUGACGGUACCUAACCAGAUAGCCACGGCUAACUACGUGCCUGCAUCCGCGGUAAUACUUAUGUGGCAAGCGUUAUCCUGAAUUAUUGGGCGUAAAGCGCGCGCAUGCGGUUUCUUAACUCUGAUGUGAAAGCCCACGGCUCAACCGUGGAUGGUCAUUGUAAACUGGGGAACUUGAGUGCAAAAUAGAAAAGCGGAAUUCCAC